rnacentral:rRNA from 1 species
UACGUAGGGUCCGAGCGUUGUCCGGAAUUAUUGGGCGUAAAGGGCUCGUAGGCGGUUCGUCACGUCGGGAGUGAAAACUCGGAGCUUAACUCCGAGCCUGCUUCCGAUACGGGCAGGCUGGAGUUCGGUAGGGGAGACUGGAAUUCCUGGUGUAGCGGUGAAAUGCGCAGAUAUCAGGAGGAACACCGGUGGCGAAGGCGGCAUCCUGGACCGGCAUUGACGCUGAGGCGCGAAAGCCAGGGGAGCAAACGGG